ensembl:lincRNA
GCAACUGAAAAUGACCAACACCGGGGUUAUAUAGCUCAAGGUAUCAGAUUUACAUUUUCCUUUGCUGGAGAAUUUACACCUGGACAUUUCUUCUUCUUUCUUUCUUCUUAAAGGACCCACGAUGUCAUGGUUCUGCUGUACAAAAGUUUUCAGUUGCAAGAACUGCUGUAACUGUAAUUGUGCUGAUAAGGACAUUUCAGCAGAGACAAUCAGAUUAUGUGGCAACGGAUCAGAUAUUCCAGCUGACGAAGAAACACCAGAGAUUAUAACAAAAAAAAUCAGUGUGAAAGAAAACAGUUCAGAUCUUCUAGGAAGCUAUUCCAACUCUUCUGCUCCACCUCAUCCACCAUCAUAUUCUACAAUAAGUUUAGAAAAGAGCCAGCAAUAACAUCAUUAACGGGAUUCUGCUCCCGUGAACUGAGAGACUUUUUCAUAAAAUCUCACAAUGAAGAAUAUGUAAUGGGAAGAAGGCAAUAUCAAGUCAGCGAACAGAAUAUAUUUCUCAUGUUCAGAAAUGGAGACACCGUUGAAAUAAGGCUAUCCUGUCACAAAAAAUAAACAUUGAUUUAAAAACUGCCUGCUUUUGUUUAGAAUACAACAAGAAAACCAAAAGUGUUUACAAGUACUGUAUAUGAAAUAAAGAAAUGUAAACACCUUAUGAACAAAAUAGUUUUAUUUUAAGACUUUAAAUACUGCAG